GUGGGCUCUUUAUAAGGUGACUGCCACCGUGGGCCAGGUAUGCAGCAGGGGUUGAGCUAGUCGUUUGGCUUUUCCGGUGGUGGUGACUCUUCCGGUCAUUAGGCUGUUCCGGUCGGUGGUUCUCUCCUGGGUGGCAGCCGGUUUUGAGAUUUCGCUCCGGUACAGAGGAUUAUCGAUCGCUCUGCGUUGUGUUGUGUUGUGCUGUGCUGUGCUGUGCUUUGCACUGGGUGCGUUCUAAGGGCUUUGCGCCCCUGAGUGUUUUUGAUCAUCGUGACCGCAGUCACAUAGGUCUCGUGGGCAGACUCGUUCCCCCCCCCUCCCCACGCAUUGUUUGGUCGUCGUCCAGUGUGUGUGCUAACCCUUUCCGCUGUGGUUGUAGGGUGCUGAUCGCCAGGGUCAUCCUUUGCUUGCUGCUGUUUUGCCUCUGUUUGUUCUUCCUUAUUGAUUGCCGUGUCUUGUCAUUGUGUCUUGGUGUAAGAGUGUUGUCUUUUGUUUUUAUGUGCUUUUGUCCUUUUGUGACUUUUCUUUCUGUACUUUUGGGAAGCUCGAUGUAGCGCCCAUGCAGGCAUAGUUAGGCCUGCCAGCUGUGUACUUUUACAGCUAGCCUAGCUUUUGGGCUUCUCAAAGAAGUAUUUGUCUUUGAUCCUGUCGUUUGGAUGGCCAUCCACUCCCUUAUUGUAUGAAUGUCUUGGUGUUUUUGAUUUAUUAGUUAUUUGUAUUUCAUUGUAGUACAGGAAAUUAGGUCGGCCCUACAAAGGUCAGCUUGUGUCAUCUGAGCCUUUGGUGUUAUUCCUGUUCUCUGUAUUUGUCUUUGUCUUUGUCAUUGUCUUUUGUGGUUUGUUUCUUGUUGUAGGAGUAGGGGGCGCUGCAGGGAAGGCUGGUCACCUGGUAUCGGGAGUUUAGCUUGUAGUGCCUGUGUGGGUUCACUGUGUGUGUUUUCCAGUACUGUUCACCUGUGUGGGUUGCGGUGGUUGCGUCUCCUAUAUCCACGUGUGGUCUUGACCUCCCUGUCCUCAGGAUAGCCUGCCUCCCUGUGAGGCAAAGCAGCAGCCAGCGGACGGUGGUAGCAGCAAACAUCCUUAUAACAACGCUUCUGGAGUAGGGGGCGCUGCAGGGAAGGCUGGUCACCUGGUAUCGGGAGUUUAGCUUGUAGUGCCUGUGUGGGUUCACUGUGUGUGUUUUCCAGUACUGUUCACCUGUGUGGGUUGCGGUGGUUGCGUCUCCUAUAUCCACGUGUGGUCUUGACCUCCCUGUCCUCAGGAUAGCCUGCCUCCCUGUGGUAAGCCCUACUCCUUCUUGUCUAAUUAAUUGUCUUGUUACAUCCCCAUCCUGUUGGGUGC